UUAAUUCAGCUGACAUCGAUAUUCUCAAAUGAUUUAGAAUUAAAUUCAGCACAUUCAUUAUUCGUAUCUUUGCCUUAAUCAAGAGAUUUUCAAGUGCAUCACUAAGGAAAAUCAGUCGGUGAACCUAAAAACAAUCUUUUUACGCUCUUAGUGUACAAAUUAACGUAAAAAACAGACUUAAUUAACUAAAUGAAGUAUAUUUCAAGUGGUGGUAAAAGUUUCAACCAGAUCUUUGAAGCCAGAAAUAAGAAAAUUACACUUGUUUGAAUUUCUCACUGUACGAUCAGUCUCGCUUGAAUAUUUUGAAACUGUAUGAUCAGUCUUUAUUUCACUGUAUUCUAGUGGUGAUUUCAAAGUUAUUUACGAUACAUUAGAAGGUGGCAUUUUUCUAAAUAACACAAAUAUAUUUCAAUAAAUUCACAUCCUGAAAACUUAUGAAACAUGUUUAAGCUUGAUAGGGUGUACUCGGCUUAGUACAUAAAGUAUAAGGAUGUUCAAAUGUUGCUAAAGUAAGAGGAAGGUUUGUUGUAUACAUAUAUAAGUUUCAGAAAUGUCCUCCGUUAUACUUAAAAUUGUACAAAC
rnacentral:lncRNA from 1 species